UUUUACAUGUGUGUGUGUGUCUGGGGCUGUCCUAGUUAGGACAGCUGAGACCAGUUCAUCACUGGAUGGGUGUAACCCAAAACUGUGUAUUCUGUAGCCUUCCAUGCUAUUUCCCAGAAACUGUUAUCAA